rnacentral:rRNA from 1 species
AGCAGCCGCGGUAAUUCCAGCUCCAAUAGCGUAUAUUAAAGUUGUUGCAGUUAAAAGCUCGUAGUUGAAUUUCGGGACCAAUCUGCCGGUCGUGCCUCCGGUAUGCACUGGUUUUAUUGAUUUCUCCCUUCUGACGAAUCAUGAUGUCAUUAAUUUGGUGUCAUGGGGAAUCAGGACUGUUACUUUGAAAAAAUUAGAGUGUUUAAAGCAGGCUCACGCUUGAAUACAUUAGCAUGGAAUAAUGAAAUAGGACGUUUGACCCUAUUUUGUUGGUUUCUAGGGUCGACGUAAUGAUUAAUGGGGAUAGUUGGGGGCAUUAGUAUUCAAUUGUCAGAGGUGAAAUUCUUGGAUUUAUUGAAGACUAACUACUGCGAAAGCAUUUGCCAAGGAUGUUUUCAUUAAUCAAGAACGAAAGUUAGGGGAUCGAAGACGAUCAGAUACCGUCGUAGUCUUAACCAUAAACUAUGCCGACUAGGGAUCGGAUGAUGUUAUUUUUUUAAUGACUCAUUCGGCACCUUAC